rnacentral:rRNA from 1 species
UACGUAGGGGGCAAGCGUUGUCCGGAAUCAUUGGGCGUAAAGCGCGUGUAGGCGGCCCGGUAAGUCCGCUGUGAAAGUCGGGGGCUCAACCCUCGAAUGCCGGUGGAUACUGUCGGGCUAGAGUGCGGGAGAGGCGAGUGGAAUUCCUGGUGUAGCGGUGAAAUGCGCAGAUAUCAGGAGGAACACCAAUUGCGAAGGCAGCUCGCUGGAACGUAACUGACGCUGGAGACGCGAAAAGCGUGGGGAGCAAACAGG